rnacentral:tRNA from 1 species
GAGCCUGUAGCUCAGUCGGUAGAGCAUUUGACUUUUAAUCAGAGGGUCCCGGGUUCGAACCCCGGCGGGCUCACCA